AGUGAACGCUGGCGGCAGGCUUAACACAUGCAAGUCGAACGCCCCGCAAGGGGAGUGGCAGACGGGUGAGUAACGCGUGGGAAUCUACCUAGUUCUACGGAACAACAGAGGGAAACUUCUGCUAAUACCGUAUACGCCCUAAGGGGGAAAGAUUUAUCGGAAUUAGAUGAGCCCGCGUAAGAUUAGCUAGUUGGUGGGGUAAUGGCCUACCAAGGCGACGAUCUUUAGCUGGUCUGAGAGGAUGAUCAGCCACACUGGGACUGAGACACGGCCCAGACUCCUACGGGAGGCAGCAGUGGGGAAUAUUGGACAAUGGGCGCAAGCCUGAUCCAGCCAUGCCGCGUGAGUGAUGAAGGCCUUAGGGUUGUAAAGCUCUUUCAGUGGGGACGAUAAUGACGGUACCCACAGAAGAAGCCCCGGCUAACUUCGUGCCAGCCGCCGCGGUAAUAC
rnacentral:rRNA from 1 species